rnacentral:snoRNA from 1 species
AGACCGUGAUGAGGACACUUUUGUAAUAGCUCCUUGAAUCUUUCCCAAGUUUCAUAUAAGGAUUCCCCCUCGUCUUGUGAGUAUGUAUUAAUUUCAGUCAUUAACUU